rnacentral:sRNA from 1 species
GAUGCUAAUAUGCAAAUAAUGAACCAUGUAGUUUCUACAGAAACAAAUGAUGCACUAAUACCACUUCUAGUGCUCAUCUUGCUUGAUUCAUAUUAUAAGCUAGCACUAUAGCAUAUCAUGCCUUUGGUCUAGAGGCAUGCAGCUAUGCAAGGUUUUUUUAGCAUUCCAAGUUUGGGAUGGUCAACAAAAUGUAGUUUAUGUCGUCCAUAUGCAGCAUUUUCAAUGCAUAGCCAUGAAAAGAGUUUAUCAAUCACCAUGUACUUAGUCUAGGAAAUCAUUAAUUUAUGUUAGUGAUAUUACUGUAUAUAAUUGAUUUAGUGGG